CCUAGUAUGGCAUUUCUGGAACUUGCGGUCCAAUUCUGUGCAUUUUCGGGCAAUACUAUAUGAUACAGGCUGAUUCUCGAUGUGAUAUGAGUGGAAUACCAACUUCAUGUACACUUGGCUUAUUCAGCACCCAUAAAAUUCAAUGGACCACCAUCCGGACAAAAGGAUAAAAACAGAACACAUCAAGAUAAUGAAUUUUCUUCAAACUACUGAGGUACAAUGAAAAAUGGAAAUAUUAUCUCAGAAAUUACAACAGAGGGAUGAAGAUAUAGCAUAUGCUGUACCUAAAAGAUACAUCAAAUGGGACAUUGGGAAUAUGGAUUGAUGAAAUUUAAUUUGCGAUUGUCCUAUAAUGCCUUUUCAUUACAGUACCACACAAAUUGAGGCAAUAAAUGUAUAUUUGAUCAAAAAAG
rnacentral:lncRNA from 1 species